rnacentral:lncRNA from 10 species
GUUACAGAUCGUGGGUUAGACCUGAAAAUAGGCCCAUUAUCAGAAUCCCACACAGGCAGGUGGAAGCUGAUCAGUCAGAGAUACCCACAGCAAUGUGGAGUUUUUCAUGCCUUCCAUGAAGACAUUCACUUCCAUCACCAAGUGUAGAAGAUUUCUGUUUGUCUCCUUGGACAUCUCCUUGAGAGUGUCCUUUCAUGACACCAGGCACAUGCUAGGUGGCUCCCUCUAGGGUGACAUGCAUGAAUCAUAGGUGUGUUCGUAUAGAUUCUAAUCUGCAGAGAAAAUAAAAUGUGGAGUGACAGCACCUGGAAAAUCGGGUCACUCCCACCCGAAUGCUGCACUUUUCCCAUGGGCUUAAAAAACGGC